rnacentral:lncRNA from 1 species
CAAGACAAAAGCAAAAUAGUAUCCCUACCAAACUAGCCUCACAAAGAUAUGGUAUAAGACAAAACUCAACUACGCCCUAACCUACAACCUUAAUACUCGACCUCCACAUGUUCCUAUCACGUGCCACGUCCUCGGAGAUCUGAAGCCUCGUUAUAUCCUGCCCUCUACCUCUACUUGUGCCCUCCACAAUCAGACGUUCGCACCUCCUUACCGGAGCAUCCAGGCUUCUCCUCUGAACAUGCCUGAACCAUCUGAGCCUUGUUUCCUCAUCUUGUCAUCAAUGAGAGACACCUAUACUUUUUCUCGAAUAUGAACAUUCCUAAUCUUAUCCAUCCUAGUAUGUCUGCACAUCCACCUUAACAUCCUCAUUUCCGGUGCCUCCAUCUUCUGGAUAUGUGAUUUCUUAACUGGCCAACACUCAGCUCCAUACAUCAUGGCCGGCGUAAC